rnacentral:lncRNA from 1 species
GCUUUCUCCUGUAACUUCUUAGACUCAAGACAAAAAAGGAGGUCUUCUAGCAGAUCAUAUCCCAGCCUUGAAAUCCAGGAGAAUGGAUACUCCAGAGACUGCCAUGGUGCACUUGGAGGGACAUCAAGUUCUCGGCAUUGCCAGAGCCCAAGAGUGGCACUAUGUUGCCUUGUUGGUGUAGGUGUUGGAGGAAGUCUGUCACUGUAGGAUUGGGCCUUGAGACCCUCCUCCGAGCUUCUGAUGGAUGAAGAUGUAGAACUCUCAGCUCCUCCAAUUCCAUACCUGCCUGGAUCCUGCCAUGCUUCCUUUUAUGAUGAUAAUGGUUGCUCUCUCAAGAUGUAAGAUCUCAGCUAUUGUCCCAGCACCAUGCCUGCCUGCUUGCCUGUUGCUGCCAUGCUCCCAGCUAUGAUGAUCAUGGACCCUAACCUUCUGAAACUGCAAGACCGAUAAGCCCAUGUUUAAAAAUGGAAGAGGAAAACAACAUUUUGUCUGGAGCACCCUUCAUCUGGGUCCCCAGCAAUCUGUCCUGUUCUACUGUGGGUGGGAAAUACAGCUUAAAUGAGUGUCAGCGGC